rnacentral:lncRNA from 1 species
AAAAAAGAGAAGGAAAGAAGGGAAAAGGGGACGUGGCCUAGACCCCGGGAAGAUCCGUGCAGUCAUCGAAAGGAACUUCCUCGGGCAUCUUGACGUUGUCAUCCUCGAGAAGACAUGAGAAGGGGUCCACGUCAAAGUGCAGGUUGGGAAAUCGAGCCCAAAUCUGAGACACCGCGACUCGAUACCCAUACUUAUAUGAGACCUGCCCCGACCUUUGUAGUUCGAGCUGAAACCCGCGGGACUCCUUGUAUUCCUCGAUCACCUUUUUGUUCUUUGCAGUAGCCGCUCGGGUUUCCUCCGACAGAGCCUCCUAGGCCUUUUUCGCCUACUGCAAGCCUCUCUUAGGCUCCGGGACAGGUCCAGCAGUUCGCCCUCCAUCAAAGAAACUCGCCCGCGAGACUCCUUCAACUGCCCCCGAAGGUCCAUCUGCUGUUACCCGGCGCCCUCAAGCUCCGACUUCAGCUGUGCAACCUCUCCCUCCAGGUCGGCGGCCUCGGGCUACCACCACCACCUCUGGGGCCGCUCUCGCUUUCAACUCUUCAAUCUGGCCGUGGAGCUCGGCGUUCCGAUCCCCCAGACUGCUAAUGAUCUGUCCAGCGUCCUGAAUACGAUCCACUAGCGCUGUGUAGUAAUGCAGGUUCUGAAUGAAGA